UACGAAGGGGGCUAGCGUUGCUCGGAAUCACUGGGCGUAAAGCGCACGUAGGCGGACUCUUAAGUCAGGGGUGAAAUCCUGGAGCUCAACUCCAGAACUGCCUUUGAUACUGGGAGUCUUGAGUUCGGGAGAGGUGAGUGGAACUGCGAGUGUAGAGGUGAAAUUCAUAGAUAUUCGCAAGAACACCAGUGGCGAAGGCGGCUCACUGGCCCGAUACUGACGCUGAGGUGCGAAAGCGUGGGGAGCAAACAGG
rnacentral:rRNA from 1 species